CAAGUUAUGAUGCAGUUCAUGGAUAGCGUACUUCUGCCCUACAUUGCCACUGGGGCUCCACAACAGAUCUUACUUGAGCCCAGAUCUCAUUGUGGAGCAAACAUCAGCUGAACGGCCCCUCUCCCCUCUCAGCAGCGAUCCUUCCCGUUGAUGGAGAUGGCAGAGAGCAGUGCCAAUGGUGAACUAUCACAAGGCUUCCUUGUGUCAAGGAACCUCAAAAUGGAAAGCAGACAGACCGAGAUCUUCCUGUGGAUGAGAGAAGGCAGAUGGACACAGAGGAGUGUGAAUCACCGGUGUUGUGGAAGAAACCUCUCCUAACACUCCACUGCUUCAGCCUGGAACUGCUCAUCACUCUUAAGGAGUGGAUAUG